rnacentral:rRNA from 1 species
GUGGGGAAUUUUGGACAAUGGGUGAAAGCCUGAUCCAGCCAUGCCGCGUGCAGGAUGAAGGCCUUCGGGUUGUAAACUGCUUUUGUACGGAACGAAAAGACUCCUUCUAAUAAAGGGGGUCCAUGACGGUACCGUAAGAAUAAGCACCGGCUAACUACGUGCCAGCAGCCGCGGUAAUACGUAGGGUGCAAGCGUUAAUCGGAAUUACUGGGCGUAAAGCGUGCGCAGGCGGUUAUAUAAGACAGAUGUGAAAUCCCCGGGCUCAACCUGGGAACUGCAUUUGUGACUGUAUAGCUAGAGUACGGUAGAGGGGGAUGGAAUUCCGCGUGUAGCAGUGAAAUGCGUAGAUAUGCGGAGGAACACCGAUGGCGAAGGCAAUCCCCUGGACCUGUACUGACGCUCAUGCACGAAAGCGUGGGGAGCAAACAGGAUUAGAAACCCGGGUAGUCC